CCCUAGCCCUGAUGGGAACGACAUCCUUUUGUGGAGACGUUCGCCACAAAAGAUAUAGUGAAGAGCAGGAAACAGC
rnacentral:sRNA from 1 species